AGCCUGCAAAUGCCCUCCGGUUCUCUUCUCCAGCACUCCCUUGGCGCCGCCGCUGCCGCUUAGCUCUGCUACCGCCGCCCUCCGUCCCGACCGUUCCCCGUCUUCCUCUCGCCGGAGCACCUGCACCGCUGCCACCUCCUCCACCGGCCCAUCGGCGGUCGCCUGCGGCUCCUGAACUUCAAGCAGCAGCGUGCCGCCGCCCCUUCCCGGCUCCUCCAAGUCCCCAGCGAUGCCUCCCAACUCGCGGCCCCGUCUCCGCGUCGGUUUUGCCACCCGAAUGGCGAGGCAACAACGUAUGCUGGAGACAAACUCUACGGAGCAACCCUCCGAGACUGCCACCAUGGAUAGCUGCACUGAUGUGGCUGCCAGCAUCGACAGGGAUUCGGUGGAGUUGAGUUGCUAUGAGAGGAUUGCGGCCCUGGGGAGCAUCGGGGAUCAGUGCAUCUAUGCGGAUGAACUCCGGCUCCUGCUCCGGAAGAAGAAUGCUCCCAUUUGCUAUGUUUGGUUUGAGCCAACCCCCUGGAUGGACAUAACCCAGGGGCUUCUGAAGACAAUUUAUGUCAACAAGAUGCUCAAAGCUGGUUACAUAGUUAAAAUAUUGAUAGCAGAUUGGUUUGCCCAACGGAACCAUAGGAUUUGCAGCAAUAAAUAUGUAAUAAGGAAAAUUGGCUGCUACAAUAUUGAGAUGUGGAAAGCAGCUGGCAUGGAUCUUGACAGGGUAGAGCUUGUAUGGUUCUCAGAUGUGUUGGAAAGGCAUGCAUCUGAUUACUGGCCACUUGCCCUGGAUGUCUCCAAAAAAUGCACUCUAAAAAGAAUGGCAAGCUGUUGCACGGAAACAGCCCCAUAUGACCCGCGACUGCCUGCUGCUGUGAUAUUUUACCCAUGCAUGCAAGUUGCUGCUAUAUUAUGUCCGAAGUUGCAGGCGGAUAUAUGGCUCUUCAGCAUGGAUCAGCAAGAAAUUGUCAUGCUAACCAGAGAGUAUUGUGAAGACAUAAAAAGAGAAAGCAAACCAACUAUUAUGUUGCACAAUACACUACCUAAUUUAGUAGAUAAUCCUUAUAUUGUACUAAAGGACCCUUAUAACAUGAGGGAACCAAAAUGGAACAUCUUCAUGCAUGAUAAGGAGUGCGCUUUGAAUGAAAAAAUAAGCAGGGCUGUCUGUCCUCCAAAAGUAGCAGUAUGCAACCCAUGUUUGGAGUACAUCAAAUAUGUUAUCUUCCCUUGGUUUGGGAAGUUUGAGGUAGCGCAGAAGGAACAGAGUGGUGUUAACAAGCCAUUUGAAUGCAUGGAAGAUCUUAUUGUUGAUUAUGAAAGUGGCGAUCUUGAUCCUGUCGACGUUAAGUUGGCUUUUGAAAAAGGAAUAUGCAAAAUAUUAGAGGUAAUUAUUGCUUCCUUACGAGGUAGCAUCCUUGUGCCAGGUUCUCUCCUGGCGCCACCACUCUCCGUCGCUGCUGCAUUGGUCCAGGGAGGAGCAAUCUCCACUCCUGGUGGCGGCAUCGAUCUUUAUCUAGAUGUAGUGGUAGCUCGUUCCUUCUUGUCUCAUGUGGCCAUGCGUUCCUUUGGCGAGCUUCUCUCGUAUCCCUAUGGUAGCAGCAGCUUGUCUUCGUCUUCCUCGACAGCAAGGUCGUCUUCGCGGGCCAAACUGUCCGGGUGUGUAUCCUUUGUCCUCUCCUCAUUUCUGGCAUUGAUUUUGUUCGGACUUGAGCUCAUUAUCGCUGUCAAUCUCCAUCCUCGUCUGAUCUGGUCGACUUGGAGGCAUGGUUUGGCCAUCUGCAUCACCGUUCUGGCCGGAUCUGUUGAUGCCAGGUUGCAGCUUUCUAACUCGUCUGGACCGCGCUGCCCGGUAUCCUCUAGGUAACAGGCGGUCAUCUUCUUCUACUGCCACUUGUCGCUGGGCUACAUUAGCACGCCCUUGGGUGGUAGAAGCUACCCUGCAGGCUUGGCCCAUUGCAGCGGUAGCCCUUCCCGUCGUCGGCAGCUUCCCCAGAUCAGAGCUUGUUGCUGCUCUUUAUCCAGCGUCAUCGCCAGCCCGUGCAUAUCAAUAUAUCAUCACCAGCUCUGGAACCGUCCUGCUGAUGCUGGUGUGUCGCAGUCGCUGCCACACACAAGAGGAAGAGCUGACUGCAAGUUGCAACGCUAUCACUUGUACUGGGUGUCGGGCCUUGCUGCGAUGUUGAUGCUGGGUGAGGUUCUUCUGCACUGGGUCAUUUUUGCCAUGGUUCUACUGUCAUGUUUGCUCGAUGGUUUGUAGGGCUGGUUAUAUGUGUGCUGGUGUGCUGCUUCAGUUCUGCCUGCUCUUCUCCUCUGUUGUGCUGCAUGUUCGUCCAUAAUCACUGUUGCUGCAUCUUUGUGUCCAUUGCCAUCGUGUCCAUCAUCCAUCUGACUCCAUCCAAAUCAUCUCAUUUUGAAUCUGUCUGCAUGGUGGGGAAUUCAUCCAUUUCACCGUAAAUCAUUUAGUCGCUUUUUUGGGGGUUUCCCAUGGUCUUUUCAAUUGAAUCGAGCUCGGUGCCCCUAAUUGUUGUUGAUGUGACUUUGCCCUCUCGAUCCUUUCUGUAGCCUUUUUUGUGACCUGACAUUGUCCGUCGCCUUCUUACUGGUCACUUGUUGCUACUUCCGACAUAUCGCUUCCUUAUCACCAUCUGCACAACUUGGCCAGAUUGUCCCUUUCAUCUUGGUCAGGAGCACCUUCGUUGGCUAAAUUAAGCAGAUAUUUAUUCUUGUUGGUUUCCAACAUCUCCAACCAAGAUGUCUGAUGAACAAUCUGUGAAAGCUUUGGAUUACCAUUUUGGAGGAGUUGGUACAUCGGAAUAUUAAGGGUAUAAGUGGGUGGCACCUCUAAUGUGUAAGGCAUGUUGGUACCUGCCUGAACAGCAACGCUGAAGCCCAAGCUCUAAUUAUCGACCUUAUGGGUCAUAUCAGGCGAAUGGAGUCCGUAGAUAUCCAUGAGUUUCACUGGUAGAACAGAAAUUAUCUGAUCCUGUGGUGUCGCGGCGUUGUGCAGUCUUGGUUGCAUCACUUGUGUUGUGGUGACGUCUCGGCCUCACAUGACUUUUUGAAUGUACAUAUUUACUCUGGGUAACAACGGGAUCUCGCUUUAGUAGUAUUAACCAGUACAUAUGUUUACUUAGCCAUGUACUAAGUAUGAUAUCAUAAAGAAUAUAACCUUAUA